rnacentral:tRNA from 1 species
GAAAGCAGCUCAGUGGCAGGGCCUUCGCCUGAUAUGCGAAGAGACCCGGGUUCAAAUUCCGGCUGCUUCU